UACAGAGGUCCCAAGCGUUGUUCGGAUUCAUUGGGCGUAAAGGGUGCGUAGGCGGCGCGGUAAGUCGGGUGUGAAAUCUCGGGGCUUAACUCCGAAACUGCAUUCGAUACUGCCGUGCUUGAGGACUGGAGAGGAGACUGGAAUUUACGGUGUAGCGGUGAAAUGCGUAGAUAUCAGGAGGAACACCAAUGGCGAAGGCAGCUCGCUGGAACGGUACUGACGCUGAGGCGCGAAAGCUAGGGGAGCAAACGGG
rnacentral:rRNA from 1 species